GGGUCCCUUUUCUAGACAGAGAGCAUAACUGAUUGAUAGCGACGUCUGUAACUGCCUGGUAGUGGGCCGUUCAGGGCCACGCGAAGUUUGUUAUGGGGAGUAGAGGCAUCAGGGAGCUGUUCUGGGCCACGUGGAGUUUGUUAUGGAGAGUGGAGUGGUGUCCAUUGUUGCGACUUGUCAGAGAGUGGUGGGGCCACGUG
rnacentral:lncRNA from 1 species